rnacentral:rRNA from 1 species
AGAGACAGCAGCCGCCGCGGGAAUACAGAGGGUGCGAGCGUUAAUCGGAUUUACUGGGCGUAAAGCGUGUGUAGGUUGUUGUUCAAGUCAGUUGUGAAAUCCCUGGGCUCAACCUGGGAACUGCUUCUGAGACUGAACGACUAGAGUACGGUAGAGGGUGGUGGAAUUUCCGGUGUAGCGGUGAAAUGCGUAGAUAUCGGAAGGAACAUCAAUGGCGAAGGCAGCCACCUGGGCCUGUACUGACACUGAGACACGAAAGCGUGGGGAUCAAACAGGAUUAGAUACCCGUGUAGUCCCUGUCUCUUAUAC